UGAUAGCCCUGAGUGCAGCGACAUCCUUUUAUGAAACUUUAGUGGAGUAAAAGAUACAGCGGAAAGCAGGUUCUCGG
rnacentral:sRNA from 1 species